UUUCACAGAAACAUUUGGUAAGCUGAUUUAUAUACAUGAAAAAUGAUUUUAAGAAUGUUUGUUGAUAUUGUUAAAAUGUCUAAUCCUGAUCUCAUUAAGUACAAGAUUAUGUUAUUUAAAGUUGUCAUUUUUAGUUGCGUGCCUUUUAUUGUUGUGUAGAAUGUGUCUAUAAAAUAUCUUCUUUUAUCAAAAUAAAAGUAAAAAUAGUUUUUGAUUAACAAGGUUCAAGUCCUUAAUGGCACACCUAGAUGGUUUAGACCGGUGAUUUGCACGAAAACUGUGAGAAGACCCCACACAAGCACGAAAACUGCUGAAUUAUCUAAGGUGUCAUUGGUUAUUCAUAAAGUAGUUUGUUUACUGGAACUAACUGACCUAGUUUGCAAUAAAACAACUGUAGUUGGUUUCUUUGUUAAAAUAAAAGUUUUUGAUAAUUUUUUUUUCUUGUUUCCUUAUCCUUUAUAGAUAUUCAUCAUAUGGAUUUGACACCUCUGUGGAGCUAGUGUUAACGCUCGUUUUGUCCCUGCAGCUUGAAUUCCAAUAAUGGACUUUCAACAUGCACAAAGAAGAAAACACAUGGGCUUGACGGCGAGAUGCCGCUGGGUGAUAGCUCUGGUGUGAGAGUAAGGUUUGAGCAAAUGUUAACAAUGGAGGAAAAUAGAGUUCGAGUGUUUAGAAAUGCCCUUUUUUCUUACCUCUUUGCAUGGACAACUAUUUAUAGUGCCUUGAAACCAAUGGUAGAAGGACAAGCGUCUCACUAAGCAGUGGCGGAACCAGAACAUAUUUAUAGGGGGG
rnacentral:lncRNA from 1 species